UACGUAGGGUCCGAGCGUUGUCCGGAAUUAUUGGGCGUAAAGGGCUCGUAGGCGGUUCGUCACGUCGGGAGUGAAAACUCGGGGCUUAACCCCGAGCCUGCUUCCGAUACGGGCAGACUAGAGGUAGGCAGGGGAGAGCGGAACUCCUGGUGUAGCGGUGGAAUGCGCAGAUAUCAGGAAGAACACCGGUGGCGAAGGCGGGUCUCUGGGCCGAUACUGACGCUGGAGGAGCGAAAGCGUGGGGAGCGAACAGG
rnacentral:rRNA from 1 species